rnacentral:lncRNA from 1 species
ACUUCUGGGCCACCUGACACCAGGCCCUGGCUGCAAGGAAAGACAGGUGGGAGGACAGCGAGGCAGAAAGAAAACGGCAGGCACACGUGUGAAAUUUCGUUCUUUGUGAACGACGUCAACAAACCGGGCUCCGGGAAGGCUGCCUGCCUGGCGCCCGCACAGCGAGCAGGUGCCAGAGGGCGGGAGCCUGGAGGCCCGGUCCGACCCUUGGCGGUUUCCUCAGAAGCGGCCCACACUGUGGCCGUUUGCACUUGCCUUUCAGGCACCACUCGGUUAGGACAAAGUCUCCUUCCUGCCUCGCUUGGGCGAGUUUUCCUCGACACCCGAGGCCGUCCAUUUCCUCGCAGGCUCUCCUUUCAGAUCAACAACUCUCUCCCUUUCCAAUUUUCCUUAUCCCCACCACCUCUCUCUCCAGACACUAAGACGGUGGCAGAAUCCCAGGCCCAGGAAUUCGGUGUCGAGGAGACACCGCCGUGUUUAGAGGCUCUCCCAGAUUUCAGCGAAAAGAACCAGACGGUCCCUGGGCAUCUUCCCAGGGAUAAGAGCCUGUGGGGUUUAGUCUGUUGGGUCAUCAAGGACCCACCCGAGGGCAGGGCUAAGCGUCCGAAGUCUCCUGUUGCAGGUGGGAAAACCUUCAAUCUUUCCCAGCCCCUCAAAUCCCAGUUCGCCCGCAAAGCUCUCCGCCUGCAGGUACCGUUUCUCCUACCUGUGCCGGGGUUCUCAGGAUCCCCGAGCCAUCUUCAGAUCAAAGGACCAAAAGCCAGAGCCGGGAGAUGCCAUCGGCGCUGCGAUACUGGAGCAAGACGCUUCCGAGUGCAAACUGCCGGCGAGCUGCCUGCCCUCCGCUCCGCCCUGCGCGCGCGCGUGCUUGCGUUUGUGUGUGUUUGUGUGUGUGUGUGUGGCAGUAGGAGGAACACCGCGCGGGGUCUGGCGCGGCCGCACGACAGAGGUGGGUGUCACACAGGGGCAGGAAACGUGCGUGUCCGUGUGCGCGCGUGUGUGUUGGGAUUAGAGCUUAGAGAAGUGGCAAAGCUCUGA